rnacentral:rRNA from 1 species
UAUCUCUGUAGAGUCUGCAUAUCAAUAAGCGGAGGAAAAGAAACUAACAAGGAUUCCCUUAGUAACGGCGAGUGAAGCGGGAAGAGCUCAAAUUUGAAAUCUUCAAGGUUCUACCUUGACGAAUUGUAGUUUAAUAGAAGUGUUUUCGGUUAGUAGGAGUGGCAAAAGUUCUUUGGAAUAGGACAUCAUAGAGGGUGAGAAUCCCGUAUUUGGAUCAUUCCUUCCUAGCUUUGUGAUACACUUUCAACGAGUCGGAUUGUUUGGGAAUGCAGUCCAAAAUGGGUGGUAAAUUUCAUCUAAAGCUAAAUAUUGGCGAGAGACCGAUAGCGAACAAGUACCGUGAGGGAAAGAUGAAAAGAACUUUGAAAAGAGAGUUAAACAGUACGUGAAAUUGUCAAAAGGGAAGCGUUUGACACCAGUGUUGUUUUUCCGAAAAUCAAUUACAAAUGGAUUUAUGUUUGAGGUAGUUAUGACUUCAUCGGCUUGCUGCCUUCGUUUAUGGUACUUUUCUUGAUGCACUUUUCGGUUAACAAGUCAACAUCAAUUUCUUUUGUUGUAAAAGGGAUAAUGAGGAAGGUGGCUUUCGUUUCGGAUAAAGUGUUUAUAGCCUUUUAUCCUCUGCAGUCGGAGAGAUUGAGGUCUGCAGCGUAGAUCCUUCGGGGUUAGAUACGUUUGUGCUAAGUUAUAGCUUUGUCAUAGACAACAUUGUUGACUAUAGUUUAGUCUUGUAGCUUACUCGCAUGAUCGCUAUUUUACCUACGCUUAGGAUGUUGAGUAGCGACAUACGCAC